rnacentral:lncRNA from 1 species
CGGAGUGUCACGUACCGACACAAGAGGAUAAUGAAUCUUGAAAGAUGAUAAUAUACUCAUCUUAAUAAACUUAAUUCCCAAAUGAGUAUGGUGUUGAGGCUUGAGCCCUCAUGGAUGAACUUGAUGGUACUUAUUGAUGAUUAUAGUACUUGUUGUUGCUACAUGUUGAGUUUUAUAGUUGAUUUACGAUAAUAUUUGAUAUAUACUGUUCCCUAUUUUGAGUUGGCCAAUGAUAUCUACUCAGUACCCGUGGUUUGUACUGACCCCUACUUUUAUGUUUUUUUUCUUGUUAUUUGUGGAGUGCAGCAAACGUGCCGUCAUCUUCGACUCAACAAUAACUCAAGCCAGUCUCAAAUGAAUUUGUUUCUAGAAUAGAACAAGAACAUAAUUACGGAGAAGAAAGUCCGCUGCGAUGGAAACAGCUACCUGACAAAUCUCCAAGAAGCCUCGGAAAAGAAGAGAAUGACAAGUACAACAAAAAUCCAGGCUCAUAACCUAUAAAAAUUUGUAGAAGCAAGGGGUCAGUACCAAACCACACGGUACUCAGCAAGUAAACGUCUAAACACAAGCUAAGAGGAUGAAAUACGUGUACUCCUACCACCCCAACCCAACCUCCACAAUUACAAACUGCAUAAAAAUUCAGUCUAACCUAACAGUUCAUAUUUACAUAGCACGUAACUCUACAACAACACUUAGACAAAUUACAUAUACAUCCUCCACAACCACACUUUACCAAAUUACAUAUCCUCAAUAAAAACACUUCAACAAAUUACAUAUCCUCGAUAAAAACACUUCAACAAAUUACAUACCCUCAACAACAACAAUUCAACAAAUUAUAUAUCCUCAAUAACAAGCUCAGUAUUCAUCAAUCACAAAUUUCGCAGAAAUUCAAUCACAAGAUCAGCAAAACACAAUAUCAAGUUCACCAAUGAUAAGUAUGUGUAAUGCAUUGUCAAGUAUAAUGAUGCAUGUCUGACCUAGUGAUACACACCCGCUGUCUCUCAGUCUGGGAACCAUGGGGGACAUAUCUGUCCAUGCAUCUGUCGCGGCGCACGACACGACCCUCGAUAAUAGUAACCAUCGCGGCGCGCGAUACGUCCCUCAAAAUAUAGUAUCCAUCGCGGCAUGCGAUACGUCCCUCGAAAUAUAGUAUCCAUCGCGGCGCGCGAUACGUCCCUCGAAAUUGUACAUCCUCUUAAGUACUCAUUCUUUCUCAAUGCACAUAACACUUGUCACAACCAAUGCCUCAUAAUAAUGCAGAUGGCAAGUUCACACAAAUAAUGAGGAGAUGACCAUUUUCAUAACAUUGCACAAUUCAAAACCACACAAACAUGAAAUCACAUCAACAAUGAUUCAACAAUCCUUCAUCCCUUUCUGAACACAUCACACUUAAAUAUUUAAUCACAUUGCCUUUUUUUUUAUCCUUUUUUUUUCAUCAUUAAAUUAAUCAAUGUGGACAAGUCAAUCCAUCACCAAUCCCGUUACUCCCAAACAUAUACCACAAGAAAAUACACGCAUUUCAUACACUUAACAAGAGUUUAGAAAUCCACUUGCCUCAAUUAAUCGAGAAUUCACUCCGAGACUUGGAUUUUCCCCUUUUGCUGAACUUCCAACUCAAGCAAUCUAUUGAUAUUAAUAAUCACGAUAAGAUUUUGAAGCUUACAACAUCCAAAUUAAUAUUUAAGUUUUCAAAUAUCAAUGUUAUUUAGUAUGUUAAUUCUUAUAUUUUUCAAAAUUUUAAACCUAGGGUUAAGUCUCAAUUCCUCCAGUUUGAUGAAUUUAAUUAUAUUCAUAUAAUAUAAUGCACAUACUAUUUAACAACAUAUCCCAUCAUCUCAAAACUUGAACCAUAACAAAGUUAUAAUUAAUAAAAAUAAAUCAUAGAGCACUCGAACCUAAUUACAAAAAUCGGCAUUUACUUACGGGAAUAUAACAAUCUGCAUAUUCAUAUAACCUAAAAUUUUCCCCACCCUUAUCCUCUAAUCAUUGGCAUAUAAUUAGCCUCAACCCAUUAUAAUAUAAUAUUACAAAUAUCUAAUGUUAUAUAAUAAUAAUAAUAAUAAUAAUAAUAAUAGUACCAACACUUAGUUUUUUCCAAAAUAGUUGUAACAAUAAAAUAAAAGAAAGGCCCAAAUUAUUAUCAAGUUACAUACAGUAACUGAAAUGGAGAAAAUCAAACACUUGAACCCCUUUCCAUACGUAUAAACCUCUUGAGCAUUUUUUUUAUUUCAAUAUCUCGAAUGAAAAAGAAUUUGGUCAUCAAUUAAUGACGACUUUUAGAUCUUAUCCCCACCAAAACUUCCAAAACAAACUACUAGACUCCUCCCGAUUUCCUUAUUUAACAAGCAUAUUAUAAAACAUAAUACGGAAAAGGAUCUAAAAUACCCUCAAAGUAUUGAAAAUGAUAUAAAAUUACCCUCCAUCCACCUAUUGGCUCUAAAAUAUCCUUCCCACCAACCUAUUGGGUCCAAAAUACCCUUGUCAUCCACCUUUUGGUUCAAAAUUGAUUACUUAUUUAACGGUUUUAUAUUUAAACUAUUUAAAUAUUUUUUAAAAUACGUGGCGCUCAACUAUUUGUUAUAAUUUAACUUAUUAGUAUAAUUUAUAAAUCAAUCCACUACCCAUCCAUUACUAAUUAAACCCUCCAAAUUAAUAAAUUACUCACAUUAUUAAUGCAACAAUAGAAAAACUACUGCCAAUUGAUUGUUUUAAAAAAUUUGAGACGAAAAUAUCUAUAGAAGUAAAUUAUCAUACAUUCAAGUGUCUAAAUAAAAAUUACUGAUAAACUUAAAAGUCUGACUAUGUUCAUCUUAAUUAUUCUUACGUCUCAAUUAUGUAUGUUACUUCAUAGGUAGCCUUUUUUCAAAAUAAUUAAAAGUUUUAAAUAAAUCAUAAAUAUUUUAUAAAAUUAUAUUUUAAAAAAGUGCAUGAAUUAAUUCGGGAUGUAUUACUUCUUUACCUUUAAUCAUAAAUUUCUAAUUCAAUCUUGAAAGAGAAUCAAAUUGAAAGUGUCCUCCUAAAUAAGCGGCUCAACAUAAAUUUAAUUGGGGCUUCGAUUCGGACUCGAAUAAUUUUGGAUGUCAUUUUCAUUAAUCUAUAAUUAUUCGUGUUUUAGCAGUGUUUAUGACAAUUUUGAUAUUAUAGUUGGCUUAUUUAUGGGGUGGGGUUUAGUUAGUAAUGGGUGGGUAGUGGAUUGGUUUAUAAAUAAUACAAAUAAAUUAAAGUAUAAGCAAUAGUUGAACAUCAAGUAUUUUAAAAAUAUUUAAAUAGUUUAAAUUUAAAAUCAUUAAAUAAGUGGUCAAUUUUGAACUCAAACGUGGAUGACAAGGGUAUUUUAGAGCCAAUAGGUGGAUGAAAAGGGCAUUUUGGAGCCAAUAGGUGGAUGAAGGGUAAUUUUGUACCAUUUUCAAUACUUCAAGGGUAUUUUAGACCCUUUUCCGAACAUAAUAUUAGAUUAGCUACUUAUCGAUUCAAAUAAACAUAGAAACAAAUUCUUAUCGAAAAGCAUUCACUGCUCACUCCCUUUUUGUUAUUUAUUUUACUCACACAACUCAAUCAACUGAAUAACAAUAAUAUGAUCUGGACUAGUAUAAAGAUUUAAGAGUGAUUACUAAUUACCUGAAGAAAAAUUCAUUUUUUCCAACCACCGGAAGAAGACGUAAUUCUCGCCCAACUCUUUUCUAAUUUUUUUUCCUCGGCGGCUGCGUGAACUGCUUCUCUCCACUACAGCCAUCAACAUUGCCCUUAUAUUGUUUUUAUUAUUAUUUAUUUAUUUAUCUUUUCUAUUAUUAUUAGCAACAAAAUAAUCUUUGGUUAAAUAUGAAAAUAAUUUCACCCAUUCUUAUAAGUCAUAAUUUAUUUAUAAAAAUUAUUUAAAAUGAUUAAUAUAAGAAUAAUGAUUAAAGUUUAUAAAACGACUAAGAGGGUCGUUAUAUUAUCCACCACUAAAAAUCAUGUUCGCCCUCGAACAUAAGGAAGAAGAAGGAAGAAUAAACGACGUUACCAAAAUCCUAAGGUAUGAUCUUCUAGAGUCGGUGUUCGUCUCUCUAAGUGGGCUCUUCCUUAAGACCAUUCCAUUCAAGAUUAACUACUAAGAACUGAUCCUUCCAAUUAAACUUGAAAAAAUUUACAAAUCACGAGUGAUUAUCAACCUAUAGACUAAUCUAUGAACCAAAUCUAAAAUGAAACCCUCUGGACCAUAACUUAAACAUCGUGACGAUUCUUUUCUCAUAUAACCAAGAGAACAUUCUGAAUCAGUAGUGACUACAACAAGAAGUUAGUUUGAAUUAACCACCUAACACUCAUACUGUACAAAUCAUCACAAUAUUUUUUUUAUCGCUUCCCUUAGCACAAUCUUUCCACUAGCAUAAGUUAUAUAUAUAUAUAUAUAUAUAUAUAUAUAUAUAUAUAUAUAUAUAUAUAAAUCUUUAGACAUCGAGUAUUCAUUAAGGGAUAAUCAAACUUAUCUAAUCCAAGGAAAAACAAGAAUAAAGUAAGCACCCAAAGACCGAUAUAUUCUAGGAUGCACAACUUUUAACAACACUGUUGUAUAACUGUAGCUAUUCACAAGAACUCUUCUAUAAGUUAUCAUAGGCAAGGUCAUGCAUAUAUAAACAACAAUAAACUUUUACUUUCCCAAACAACAUCGAAAUAUACCAUAACUGAAGUGACCAAGUCUUCACAAGGAUGCCAGUCUACCAUGAAGACAAUCACAUGAUCGGUACACCCGAUCCACCACUAGGAAUUCAUCCAUAGAUAUGAAAACACGUGUAGGUAUAGGUAGCGAAUCACACUUCAAACUAUAUCCAAAACGUAGUUGAUGGUCAUAUAAGAAUACACAGAACCAGAGUCGAAUAACACUAGAUACUUCUUUGAUAGUGUCCAUGUUAAACAUUUACAUUCAUAUGACUCUAUCUCUUUAAUUAUUAUAGCUACCCACAAUCAACUAGUCUGGUGCUUAUUAUAAUCGUAUACAUACUUGAUUUAUAAAACCUCACAUAUUCUUAUAGUACUCUACUGAAGUUAAAAAAAAAAUUAUACUAACAAACAUCAAAAUCACACCGGUCAUUUGUCUUACUCUCAAACCAUCACUAGUAUCAAAGUCUUCCUAGCAAGCACAUUGUAGCCUCCAAAAUUUUUGAAUUAUGACUCCCUUUCUUUCUAUUUAAGCAUGCGUUGAUAGAUAUGGGUACACACCCAAGGUUGAUAACACUAAUUUCGAAUAUGAUAUUAGUUCCUCCUCGACAUAAAACUAUUGAAUUACGUUCAAUGUAAUAUCCACACAAUCUUUCACAUGCAAAGUUUUAACUAUCAUUCAAACCAUCAUAUAUCUCGUGCCAAAACUUAGAGAAACUCUCAAUCAAUCCAAUAAUUCGGUAUAAUAUAAGCUCAUAACCUCCAUUCACCAUCAAAUACAUAUAUAACACAUCAUAACAGUCUAUAUCGUCCCACGACAAAGUAGUUUCAAUCCCUUCAAAUCCUCAUUAAUCAUGUAAAAUUGUAGGUUUACACCGUUGAACAUCAAUAAGUUACCUAUUAUGAUUUGAACAAUCUAACUUUACAUAACCAAGUAGAAUCCUUCACACGCAGUUGCUUGUCACCUGAUCAAACUCAAUCCUUAUCAAAGUCGUUGAUAACGCCUAGUAAGUCUGUACCGAAUCAGUUCACAUCUCAUAGUAAUAUCUUAAUUAAAAGGUUAAAAUCCAUAUAACCUUAAAUUCUGAACCAAGGGUCUAUACGAAGGGUCUUACUCUUUUACCUUUCUUAAAUUCUUCUCAUAAUGCAAUUAUUAAAUAUUUUAAAUCGUUAAUAUAUCAAACUUUUUUUUUGUCUCGCUUACUUGCUUACCUAUCUUAUCCUUUGACCAACUCAUUAUAUUUUUACAUUACCCUCUAACCAAAACAUUGCAUGAAACCUUCCUCAAGUAUAACAAUCAAAAGUAAUCAAAUUUACUACUCAAAUUAUUUUUAAAUCCUUCCAAAUGCUUCAUACUCAAUGUUAUCGAUUAUUUCUUACUUUUCCAAUUCAUACCUUGACAAAACAGACUAUCACAAAUCUAAAUUCACAAUUAAAAGCUUGAAUUUAUUCCAAACAUGUAACACAACCGUUUUAUCUAUCAACAUUAACUCAUAUCUUGAAGAUUUUUAUGAAUUCAUGUAUCUUAGCUUACAUUGAUCGCCUCUCCAUCAAUCAUAUCAUAUCCUUUGCCAAAACUUCAACUGUACUCAUUACCAACUUAUAAACAUAAAAAAAUACAUAUAAUCACACUCGAGUUGAACAUUUAUAUACACUCUUUUCUCAAGUUAUCCAAUAGUAAUUUUUUUGAUUUAAAUCAAUCAGUUGAUCUGGUGACACUAUAUAUUAUCAUAAUCAGGGCAAAAAGAUGAAAUCACAUAUCUCUGAAUUUAAUUAUCCACUCUUUCUGACAUCUUUGACCCUUAUAAUCUGAGUAAUAUCCUUGUUCUCACCUCCUUCUAAAGGUUAAACUACAUCCCACUAAUUCAUUCCAUUCUGGCUCUAGCUCCUUUCAAUUAUAUUCGAGUGACAUCAUAAUUCCUCAUAAAAAUUACCAUACAACCAUGCUAGUCACAAACAGUAGUAAACCAUAACUCAGACAUUCGAAAGUCACCCUUAUCAUACAAAAGUCUUUUAACCAACAAAACUUAUCAUAUAGUUGCAACCUAAUCAUCAUCCAUCACAAACUCUAGUUAUCACUAUGUAUAGUCAUCCCUUAUCAUUACCACAAAGUCAACCUUGUCAUGACAUGACAUCUCAAACUCAACUAUACCAAUCGAAUUCAACAGACUAACUUAACUUUAUACACAUUUUCUUUAAAAAAAUUCAAUUGUCUUCACCAAAGUAUACUCGUUGGGAUUUGCUUUACAUAUAAGAUAGUCAUUCCAAUAUUAAUCCACUCAAUUGGGGCUUAUGAUAAAAUAACCACUGCUCAUUUUGAAUCCUAAGGAUACACAUCAUAACCUACUCACACAUUAAUAUUAUACCAAAGAUCCACCACUAAAAGCUUUCUUAUAAAUAAUGCUUAACUCAUUCGUUCGUAGUAACAAGCUAGUUGGUUUUCAAAUAUGAAUGUAACAUAAAAUCUUAUUAUAUGAGUAUAUGAUAAAAUUGAUAGUUCCUUAAGUAGUUAUUGUUCACACUUAACAUCGAAUUAUCAAUUUUUAUAUAACACUAGUACCACAUCACGAAAUUUCAUUAGAUCCAUCACUAAAACACAUCAUACCUCCUGGAAAGAUUGUACUCAAAUCUCACAUAUUUCUAUAAGUUGAGUGGUUGUAGUACAUUACCAAAUCCAUUUGAUCUCUAAUCCAAUCGUUAUGCACUAUUUCAUAGAUUAGUUCGAUAAUAGAAGUAACACGCUCCAUAACACUAACCAAGUAAACAUCUAUACUAAGUAGUCAUACCAUCAUUUUCUUAAAUAUACAAAACCUAUAAAAUCGUAAUAGUUCUAACCUCCAUUGGUCCAUCAGUAUUCCUAUCAUCUUCUAAGCAACCCAUUAAUGGUAUGACAACUAUAUCAAUUGUAUUACGCUAUUUAUUAUCUAGUCAAUUCUUCAAACAUUUAAAUUCUAAUUGUCGAACCACUCCAUAUUUUGCUUAUACAAGAUAAGUACUAUAUUUAUUAUUAUUAUUUUACAAUGAUAACUAACCUUACUCAACUCUUUCAAAUAUGAUCACACAUUCGUUUCAUAAGUAUAGCAUUUCCACCUUAAUACCAAAUCUAACAUCAAACCAAUACACGACAUGCCAAUGAUUCACAAAAGGAACUACGCACGAGUCAUCACAUAAAUGAGAGCGAAUGGAGUGAAGCGCUAAGAAUCAAAAUGGGACCAAGUACGCACAAUAGAGAUCCAAGAAAUAAAGAUAUUUCCUAAAAGUCACUACAGCCUCUCUAAGAUAGGUACAGACGUCUCCGUACCGAUCAUCGAGACUCUAUUUAGACUCGACUUGUACACACGUGAGACCUAUGAACCUGGGGCUCUGAUAUCAUUUUGUCACGAUCCAAAAAUAGACGUGAUGGCACUUGUCUUAUCCCACCAAGACAAGUCAGCCUAAAACUCAACUUAUUACAAUAAAAUGCGGAAAAUUUACUAUCGACUUAUAUUAUAACCCAAAACCUGGUUGUCACGUGUACAAGCCUCUAAAGUAUUACAACUGAUUCAAAAGAAAACUCAAGUCUCAAAUGAACUUGUUUCUAGAAUAAAACAAGAACAUAAUUACGGAGAAGAAAGUCUGCUGCGAUGGAAACAGCUACCUAACAAAUCUCCAAGAAGCCUCGGAAAAGAAGAGAAUGACAAGUACAACAAAAAUCCAGGCUCAUAACCUAUAAAAAUUUGUAGAAGCAAGGGGUCAGUACCAAACCACACGGUACUCAGCAAGUAAACGUCUAAACACAAGCUAAGAGGAUGAAAUACGUGUACUCCUACCACCCCAACCCAACCUCCACAAUUACAAACUGCAUAAAAAUUCAGUCUAACCUAACAGUUCAUAUUUACAUAGCACGUAACUCUACAACAACACUUAGACAAAUUACAUAUACAUCCUCCACAACCACACUUUACCAAAUUACAUAUCCUCAAUAAAAACACUUCAACAAAUUACAUAUCCUCGAUAAAAACACUUCAACAAAUUACAUACCCUCAACAACAACAAUUCAACAAAUUAUAUAUCCUCAAUAACAAGCUCAGUAUUUAUCAAUCACAAAUUUCGCAGAAAGUCAAUCACAAGAUCAGCAAAACACAAUAUCAAGUUCACCAAUGAUAAGUAUGUGUAAUGCAAUGUCAAGUAUAAUGAUGCAUGUCUUACCUAGUGAUACACACCCGCUGUCUCUCAGUCCGGGACCCAUGGGGGACAUAUCUGUCCAUGCAUCUGUCGCGGCGCACGACACGACCCUCGAUAAUAGUAAUCAUCGCAGCGCGCAAUACGUCCCUCGAAAUAUAGUAUCCAUCGCGGCGCGCGAUACGUCCCUCGAAAUUGUACAUCCUCUUAAGUACUCAUUCUUUCUCAAUGCACAUAACACUUGUCACAACCAAUGCCUCAUAAUAAUGCAGAUGACAAGUUCACACAAAUAAUGAGGAGAUGACCAUUUUCAUAACAUUGCACAAUUCAAAACCACACAAACAUGAAAUCACAUCAACAAUGAUUCAACAAUCCUUCAUCCCUUUCUGAACACAUCACACUUAAAUAUUUAAUCACAUUGCCUUUUUUUAAUCCCUUUUUUUUCAUCAUUAGAUUAAUCAAUGUGGACAAGUCAAUCCAUCACCAAUCCUGUUACUCCCAAACAUAUACCACAAGAAAAUACACGCAUUUCAUACACUUAACAAGAGUUUAGAAAUCCACUUGCCUCAAUCAAUCGAGAAUUCACUCCGAGACUUGGGUUUUCCCCUUUUGCUGAACUUCCAACUCAAGCAAUCUAUUGACAUUAAUAAUCACGAUAAGAUUUUGAAGCUUACAACACCCAAAUUAAUAUUUAAGUUUUCAAAUAUCGAUGUUAUUUAGUAUGUUAAUUCUUAUAUUUUUCCAAAUUUUAAGUCUAGGGUUAAGUCUCAAUUCCUCCAGUUUGAUGAAUUUAAUUAUAUUCAUAUAAUAUAAUGCACAUACUAUUUAACAACAUAUCCCAUCAUCUCAAAACUUGAACCAUAACAAAGUUAUAAUUAAUAAAAAUAAAUUAUAGAGCACUCGAACCUAGUUACAAAAAUCGGCAUUUACUUACGGGAAUAUAACAAUCUGCAUAUUCAUAUAACCUAAAAUUUUCCCCACCCUUAUCCUCUAAUCAUUGGCAUAUAAUUAGCCUCAACCCAUUAUAAUAUAAUAUUACAAAUAUCUAAUGUUAUAUAAUAAUAAUAAUAAUAAUAAUAAUAAUAGUACCAACACUUAGUUUUUUCCAAAAUAGUUGUAACAAUAAAAUAAAAGAAAGGCCCAAAUUAUUAUCAAGUUACAUACAGUAACUGAAAUGGAGAAAAUCAAACACUUGAACCCCUUUCCAUACGUAUAAACCUCUUGAGCAUUUUUUUUAUUUCAAUAUCUCGAAUGAAAAAGAAUUUGGUCAUCAAUUAAUGACGACUUUUAGAUCUUAUCCCCACCAAAACUUCCAAAACAAACUGCUAGACUCCUUCCGAUUUCCUUAUUUAACAAGCAUAUUAUAAAACAUAAUAUUAGAUUAGCUACUUAUCGAUUCAAAUAAACAUAGAAAAAAAUUCUUAUCGAAGAGCAUUCACUGCUCACUCCCUUUUUGUUAUUUAUUUUACUCACACAACUCAAUCAACUGAAUAACAAUAAUAUGAUCUGGGCUAGUAUAAAGAUUUAAGAGUGAUUACUAAUUACCUGAAGAAAAAUUCAUUUUUUCCAACCACCGGAAGAAGACGUAAUUCUCGCCCAACUCUUUUCUAUUUUUUUUUCCUCGGCGGCUGCGUGAACUGCUUCUCUCCACUACAGCCAUUAACAUUGCCCUUAUAUUGUUUUUA